rnacentral:misc_RNA from 1 species
GUCUGUUGUUAUGAUGCUGCAGUGACUGACAAACACGACACGCGUUCAGGUGCACACAACCAAGUGUGCAGACACAAACAUCGCUGUUUGUGCGGGACCGCUCCGGAGAGCCGCGUCCCGCCAGCCGGCCCGCAGGCCGGCGGCUUUGCGUGGCCUUGCGGCCGAUUUGUUAAUGAUCCUUCCGCAGGUUCACCUACGGAAA